rnacentral:lncRNA from 1 species
GUUUAAUUUCAAAAGAGGUGAUUGUGUGAAAUAUUACUUCAUAUUUGUCAGCCACCUACUUUCUACUGCUAUAUUCCAUGUAAAGAUUUGGGAAUUUCAAGAGAAUUAAAGUAUUACUGUAUGAGACCUCCUGGUUACUGCUUGGUAGAUUUCUUUUAGGAGCUGUAUCCUACUAAGGGAGGGCAAUAAAAAAUUUGAAGGUUCUCUAGAACCUGCUAACCCCUUUGGAGGGGCUAUCAGGGGUAUCAGUAGGAAAUUUUGAAUACCCAUAUACCUGGCCAUAGCUGCUUUUGUAAAAGGCUCCUGGGCAUAACAAAAUACAUCAGAAAACAGUUGUGACACCUGUUGGGGUUUUAAUGAUGCUACUCAUCCAUUACCUUCAUUUACUUUCUAUUUAAUUUUUUCCUUCAGUUACUUUCUGCCCCCCACAUCAGGGCUCUACCAGUAGUAAUUAGACUCACAGUGUAGCUGGCUACUUUCCUCCAAAAAACACAUGAAUGGCGAUAGUACUGUCUUUGGGGUUUUGUUUUGUCUAAUGAGAUUCAGUAAUGCACUGGAGGGGAUUUAAAGGCCUUUUGCUACUAUCCCCUCAUUUUAUAGAUGACAAAUGGUCAAGUACCUUGUAGGAUCGUACAGACUGGAAUUAAACAUGCUUUUGUUGAUAAUCUGAUUUAGAGGGUUCCUGAAAAAAAAAUGAAGAGGCUAAUCAAUUAGUCAAAUAUUUGUUGAGCUUGUACUUUGUGCAAAUGUCUGAGAGUGUUUGAAGGGACAUGAAGAAAACAGGUUCUGACUUUAGGAAGAGGGCUGUUGACUUCAGGAAGCAAGACAUAAACAGUGCCGAAGUGUACAGCACAGCACUUGGUAUGCGCAGUGCCCUGUGGUGUGUUACAAGUAUAAAUGUGUUUAUUUUACACAUGGAGGAGUAGAAGCUGUGAGAAUGGUGGAUUCUGCAGAAAAAUGGAGUGUAAUUGUGUUUCUGGAACGGCCUGCAGCUCUAGAAUUGGAGGUCAGCGGCAAGUCUUUAGUAUUGUCCCCUUUAGCUAUCCAUUAAGGGAAUCUGAAAACCUAAGAUCCAGCAUUUUUAAAUGGCAGUGCAAUCGUAAUGAGGACAUCAUAGUUUUUU